rnacentral:tRNA from 1 species
GAGGGUAUAGCUCAGUGACUUGAGUGUGUGCUUAGCAUGCACAAGGUCUUGGGUUCAAUGCCCAGUACUUCCA